AUACUUACCUGGCAGGGGAGACACCAUGAUCAGGCAGGUGGUUUUCCCAGGGCAAGGCUCAUCCCUUGCACUCCGGGUGUGCUGACCCCAGCGAUUUCCCCAAAUGCGGGAAACUCGAUUUUCUUUUGCCCAGAGAGGUGGUGGAGUCUCCUUCCCUGGA
ensembl:snRNA U1 U1 spliceosomal RNA